GGUCACAUCACUUUGAAACACUGAUUGCCAUAUGAUCACCAAAGUUAGGCAACAUCGAGUCUGGUCAGUACCUAUAUGGGUGACCACGUGGGAAUGCCAGGUGCUGUAGG